rnacentral:tRNA from 1 species
GGGGAUAUAGCUCUGAGGUAGAGCUCUUACUUAGCAUGGAUAAGACACUGGGUUCAAUCCCUAGUAUCUCUC